CCUACGGGAGGCUGCAGUGAGGAAUAUUGGUCAAUGGACGCAAGUCUGAACCAGCCAUGCCGCGUGAAGGAAGACGGCUCUAUGAGUUGUAAACUGCUUUUGUACGGGGGUAAACGCAGAUAUGUGUAUCUGUUUGAAAGUAUCGUACGAAUAAGGAUCGGCUAACUCCGUGCCAGCAGCCGCGGUAAUACGGAGGAUUCAAGCGUUAUCCGGAUUUAUUGGGUUUAAAGGGUGCGUAGGCGGUCGGAUAAGUUAGAGGUGAAAGCCCGAGGCUCAACCUCGGAAUUGCCUCUGAAACUGUUCGGCUAGAGAGUGGUUGCGGUAGGCGGAAUGUAUGGUGUAGCGGUGAAAUGCUUAGAGAUCAUGCAGAACACCGAUUGCGAAGGCAGCUUACCAGGCUACUACUGACGUUGAGGCACGAAAGCGUGGGGAGCAAACAGGAUUAGAUACCCUUGUAGUC
rnacentral:rRNA from 1 species